rnacentral:miRNA from 1 species
GUGACGCAUUGCUCAUCAAAGCUGGCUGUGAUAGCAACUAUCAAAGCAAGCUACAACAACCAAGUUUGAUGACAAUGCAUGGC